CGCCUUGCCAGCCCGCUCAGAAACUUAAAGGAAUUGACGGGGGCCCGCACAAGCGGUGGAGUAUGUGGUUUAAUUCGAUGCAACGCGAAGAACCUUACCUGGUCUUGACAUCCCGGAGACCCUUAGGAAACUAGGGGGUGCUUCCAUCUGGAAGAAUCUGGAGACAGGUGCUGCAUGGCUGUCGUCAGCUCGUGUCGUGAGAUGUUGGGUUAAGUCCCGCAACGAGCGCAACCCUUGCCUUUAGUUGCCAGCAGUUCGGCUGGGCACUCUAAAGGGACUGCCGGUGUUAAACCGGAGGAAGGUGGGGAUGACGUCAAGUCCUCAUGGCCUUUAUGACCAGGGCUACACACGUACUACAAUGGCCGGCACAGCGGGAAGCGAAGGGGCGACUCUGAGCGGAUCCCUUAAAGCCGGUCCCAGUUCGGAUUGCAGUCUGCAACUCGACUGCAUGAAGUUGGAAUCGCUAGUAAUCGUGGAUCAGCCAAGCCGCGGUGAAUACGUUCCCGGGCCUU
rnacentral:rRNA from 1 species